GUUAAUUUAGUUUAAUUUAGAAUAUGUAACUUGUAAUUAUAGGGUUAAAUUAGCU
rnacentral:tRNA from 1 species